rnacentral:tRNA from 1 species
UUCCCCAACCAGGGAUCGAACCCGGGCCCCCUGCAGUGAAAGUGCAGAGUCCUAACCACUGGACCACCAGGGA